GUCCUAGAGUCUGGCAAAAGGCUGAGCAUGAAAUUCCUCACAGAAUCCAGAGGGCAGUCCCCAAGGCUCUCAGAGUCUUACUCUGAGCCACAGGAAGAAGUACCUUACGCCAGCUCACAGGGGAACUCCAAACAGUCAGCAGGAAGAAACUCAGUCACUCAGAUGAAAAUGAUGGUGUCUCACCAUUCUUCUAUGCAGUUUUCUAAGGGGCAAGACAGAGACAUUUGGCUGUGAGACAUUAAUUAAUCGAACAGAAUGUACUUUAACUGUUACCUUUCUUAUCUAAGGCUGUGUGGCCGGCUCACUGGUUUUAGU
rnacentral:lncRNA from 1 species